GAUAUCACUUAUUCGAAUAGGUGAUAUCACCUAUUCAGCACGAAUAGGUGAUAUCACUUAUUCGAAUAGGUAAUAUCACCUAUUCAAAUUAUUUAUGAAAUAACAACAGCUCCCUAGGUCCCUCAAUGUACUUUCACUUUCGUUUUCGUCACGUGACUUGCGACUUCCGUGUAUGGAGUUGUGUUUUGAGUUAAGCAUGUUUUUGGUUUAUACACAGCUUUCGAGGAAAAGUUAAGUAGUUUUACAAAGCAGAAGGGUUCUCCGACUUACGAUGGAUGAAUUGCGUGUCAUAAAAGCUUGGGUGCGAGUGUCCACGAGGAAAAUUUCGAUCAAAGUACAGGUUUUUCCUUAAUCCGAGGACGGCUGAUGUUAUUGUCAGCUGAUUAUAUUUAUAGAGGAGGAAUUUUGUCUGUGCCUGAUGGAAGUCCAAGAGAACCGGGCUGAGUAAGACAGAUGCGAGAUGCAGCUGCUUUAAGCAGUACCUAAGACUAAACUGACUUUGAGUCAUCAUCAUUCUUCAAAAUGCAAAUCAAAUACAGGUUAUUGUCUGCACAUCUUGCAAUGGAUUGUUUUGAUUGAGAACUUAUCCAGCAUGAAGACCAGCCAUGUACCUCACCUUUCAGGACAUUAUUAAAGUACUUUGUGACAGUGGGAAGAUGAAAUUAAACAUGACAUGGCUCUAUAUCACUGCAUCAU